rnacentral:rRNA from 1 species
AUUGAACGCUGGCGGCAUGCCUUACACAUGCAAGUCGAACGGCAGCACGGGAGCAAUCCUGGUGGCGAGUGGCGAACGGGUGAGUAAUGUAUCGGAACGUACCUUUCAGUGGGGGAUAACGUAGCGAAAGUUACGCUAAUACCGCAUAUUCUGUGAGCAGGAAAGCAGGGGAUCGCAAGACCUUGCGCUGAUUGAGCGGCCGAUAUCAGAUUAGCUAGUUGGUGAGGUAAAGGCUCACCAAGGCGACGAUCUGUAGCGGGUCUGAGAGGAUGAUCCGCCACACUGGAACUGAGACACGGUCCAGACUCCUACGGGAGGCAGCAGUGGGGAAUUUUGGACAAUGGGGGCAACCCUGAUCCAGCCAUGCCGCGUGAGUGAAGAAGGCCUUCGGGUUGUAAAGCUCUUUCAGCCGGGAAGAAAUCACAUGGGUUAAUACCCUGUGUGGAUGACGGUACCGGAAUAAGAAGCACCGGCUAACUACGUGCCAGCAGCCGCGGUAAUACGUAGGGUGCGAGCGUUAAUCGGAAUUACUGGGCGUAAAGCGUGCGCAGGCGGUUUGUUAAGAUAGGCGUGAAAUCCCCGGGCUCAACCUGGGAACUGCGUUUAUGACUGGCAGGCUAGAGUAUGGCAGAGGGGGGUGGAAUUCCACGUGUAGCAGUGAAAUGCGUAGAGAUGUGGAGGAACACCGAUGGCGAAGGCAGCCCCCUGGGCCAAUACUGACGCUCAUGCACGAAAGCGUGGGUAGCAAACAGGAUUAGAUACCCUGGUAGUCCACGCCCUAAACGAUGUCAAGNUAGGUGUUGGGUGGGUAAAACCAUUUAGUACCGGAGCU